rnacentral:lncRNA from 1 species
AGUUGUAGUCAUUCUAGUUCUACUAUGUGGGAUGCCACCACAGCAUGGCCUGAUGAGUGGUGUGUAGGUCCAUGCCCAGGAUCCGAACUGGUAAACCCUGGGCCUCUGAAGUAGAUUGCAUGAACUUAACCACUCGGCCAGGGGGCCGGCCCCAGACACCUAUGGAGUGUUCUUGUUUUCAAGACUCUGAAAGCUGACCCUAGAAGAAUCGAAUAGUUAGGAUCCUCUCCAAAGGAGUUAUUGCAGACACUCCUAGAUGCAGAUGCAUCAUCCUGGGGGCGUAUGGAAGAUGUAUAUGAAUAUGGCAGGACUGGAGGCAGAGACAAAGAACAAAGCUUCCUGGACUUGUUUCCCUCUCGUCUUUGAGGUGAAUGGCAACUCUCCUUCCUUAAAGGCUGCACUGUCUAGCAGGCAAGAAGAUGGGCUUACGAUUGACUCAGAUGGAAUGCCAACUCUUUUACACUCUAUGUGAUUCUAGUGCAGAGCAUGAAGUUAGUGUUGCCUUGGUGAGCACUGCGCAAUGCCAUGUGAGUAUUGGAGCAAAGGUAUUCUUCAUCAUCUGAUGCAGCGAGAGCCUCACUCCCUGCAGAAAUACAGAUGCGUCCUAAGUGCAGAGAGACUCAAUGAAGCACCACUCGCCAUCCUAACUACAACAGAAUAAAAUAGUAAAGCUCCCAAGUUCUCUUCACAAAAACAAAAGAAAGAAGUUGCCAGUAAGCUCAAUGGAAUCAUGUUUAGUGUGCUCAUUUGCCAGUGGGUGGAUAUUUUUUCCUUUUUCUCUUGUGUAACUUAUUCUUAGUAUAAUAUGCUUUCUAAAUCAUUCUGGUGGAUGAAACCAAUUUAUAUUCCUCCCUGGUAAGAAAAGCAAUUCCUUCUCAUCUCAUAGUUAAAUACCCAAAAUCAUUAGUUGUGAAAAAUUUUUAUUUAUUUAGAUAGCCAACCUGUCUGUUUUUCCCAGUGGAGGCAGGAGAGCUGUCACAAUCCGUGAAAUUCACACUCUUUGCUCCUCAGUCAACAUUUAAUGAUUAUU